UGGGGAAUAUUGGACAAUGGACCGCAAGUCUGAUCCAGCAAUUCUGUGUGCACGAUGACGUUUUUCGGAAUGUAAAGUGCUUUCAGUCGGGAAGAAGUCAGUGACGGUACCGACAGAAGAAGCGACGGCUAAAUACGUGCCAGCAGCCGCGGUAAUACGUAUGUCGCAAGCGUUAUCCGGAUUUAUUGGGCGUAAAGCGCGUCUAGGCGGCAAGGAAAGUCUGAUGUGAAAAUGCGGAGCUCAACUCCGUAUGGCGUUGGAAACUGCCUUACUAGAGUACUGGAGAGGUAGGCGGAACUACAAGUGUAGAGGUGAAAUUCGUAGAUAUUUGUAGGAAUGCCGAUGGGGAAGCCAGCCUACUGGACAGAUACUGACGCUAAAGCGCGAAAGCGUGGGUAGCAAACAGGAUUAGAUACCCUGGUAGUCCACGCUGUAAACGAUGAUUACUAGGUGUUGGGGGUCAAACCUCAGCGCCCAAGCUAACGCGAUAAGUAAUCCGCCUGGGGAGUACGUACGCAAGUAU
rnacentral:rRNA from 1 species